rnacentral:rRNA from 1 species
GACGAACCGUGCGAACGUUAUUCGGAAUCACUGGGCUUAAAGCGCGUGUAGGCGGAUGAGCACGUCUGUCGCUGAAAUCCCCCGGCUCAACCGGGGAACGGGCGCGGAUACGGCUUGUCUGGAGGGGCGUAGGGGGACCUGGAACUUCCGGUGGAGCGGUGAAAUGCGUUGAGAUCGGAAGGAACGCCCGUGGCGAAAGCGAGGUCCUGGACGCCUACUGACGCUGAGGAACGAAAGCUAGGGGAGCAAACAGG